GUUCCUACGGGGGGCAGCAGUGGGGGAUAUUGCACAAUGGGGGGAACCCUGAUGCAGCGACGCCGCGUGGGCGAUGGAGUGCUUCGGCAUGUAAAGCCCUAUCAGCAGGGAAGAAAAUGACGGUACCUGACUAAGAAGCCCCGGCUAAAUACGUGCCAGCAGCCGCGGUAAUACGUAGGGAGCAAGCGUUAUCCGGAUUUAUUGGGUGUAAAGGGUGCGUAGACGGAGAAGCAAGUUAGUUGUGAAAUCCCUCGGCUUAACUGAGGAACUGCAACUAAAACUACUUCCCUUGAGUACUGGAGAGG
rnacentral:rRNA from 1 species